UUUGCAUCAGCAGUGGUAUGUGGUUUAAAUGUCAGGUGUCCCAGCCUUGUUUCCUGUGUUUCUCCUGAAUCUUUUGGAUUUAUUUCUGCAUUUGCUUGGACCUCGCCUGGAUUUUUGGAUUUCGUUUAUCGCCUGCUCCUUGUUUGAGUUGAUUGCCUGUCUUGGACUGCCCUCCCAAUUUUGACCACUGCCUGCCUGACUACCCGUAUAAUCAUGGCAGAAGGCCAGGGAUACGACUGGACAAACAAUUCCAGGACCACCAGAUGCAGGAUGGAUGACUCCAUGCCCAGGAGGCAAGUGGCUCCAGUUCAGGCUGGACUGAGUCAAGGACUCCACUCUUCGAUGUUGUACCAGCUGCUCAUGGAGGAAAAGCCAAUCCAGACAUCUCACACUGAUAUACUGGACACACUGUACGUUAUGCAUGUUCCAAAGAGCCCUAUGGACACACUGCUGAGAUUAUCACUGGACACUAAAUACAAUGCAAGUACACCGGAUGAUGUUGUGAAUUCACCCAAGCAUUUAUGGUGUGCUGUGAUUUGGGACUAGCCCCAUUAGUAAUGACAUGUUCAAUACCCUAGCUUGCUCAACUAAGAUGAGCAAAAAAACAGCCUACUGCAUACUUGAUGAUUAAACUCACAAUAUGUGUUUUGCUAUUAUGUGUUUAGUUUGGUUUUAUGCUUGUGGCUUUAAAUACAGGAUCCAUGUUGCCAAAGACAAUAUAGAUGCACAUGUCUGAUCCUGUUUAUGCAACACAUUGUCCUUGUGGUGUUGUAGUCAAGGGACAGCCUGGUGCAGACUCGGGGUGUCCUUUGACAAUGACUCGAAAGGAUAAUGGAGGGUGGGACUGGCGCGUCCCAAAGGGGGAAUGUCAUAGAUGAUUUCAUUAAACCAACUAUGGGUUAUGGAUUUAUCACAUAACCACCCUGUGCACUUAUCACAGUAUAGUGAUUAACGUCAAUUUUGUUGUGAUGUAUAACGCUACUGAAGUUGAAGAAACGUAUUAGAACACAUAAGGUGUGAAGAAAUGAAUUAGAGCAUAUAAUGUAUAGGAGAAUCAACUACUUUAAUCAAAUAAUUACACUUUAAUACACUCGUUAAGGGGCACCACCCAGUAAACUGGGAAAACAAAAUCGAAUGAAUUAAAACUCAAGCUUAAAUUAAUCAGUCUUUAAGAAGGAUUUCUUUCUUUUUGAAAGACACACAACUUCUUACUGACUAAAUUAAGACAUUUAUUUAUAGCUAAAUGCCUAAUGAUUACAUAAAAGUUUAACAAGGUACAGUGGUGUGAAAAAGUUUUUGCCCCCUUCCUGAUUUCUUGUUUUUUUGCAUGUUUG